UACAGAGGGGGCAAGCGUUGUUCGGAAUUACUGGGCGUAAAGGGCGCGUAGGCGGCCCGCUAAGUCGAACGUGAAAUCCCCAGGCUCAACCUGGGAACUGCGUCCGAUACUGGCAGGCUUGAAUCCGGGAGAGGGAUGUGGAAUUCCUGGUGUAGCGGUGAAAUGCGCAGAUAUCAGGAGGAACACCGAUGGCGAAGGCAGGUCUCUGGGCAUUAACUGACGCUGAGGAGCGAAAGCAUGGGGAGCGAACAGG
rnacentral:rRNA from 1 species